rnacentral:rRNA from 1 species
GACAGAGGGUGCAAACGUUGCUCGGAAUUACUGGGCGUAAAGCGCGUGUAGGCGGUUACGCGAGUCGGGUGUGAAACGGCCCGGGGCUCAACCCCGGACGUGCACUCGAUACUACGUAGCUGGAGUACUGUAGAGGAUGGCGGAAUUCCCGGUGUAGAGGUAGAAAUUCGUAGAUAUCGGGAGGAACACCAGUGGCGAAGGCGGCUCACUGGUCCGUUCUGACGCUGAGGCGCGAAGCGUGGGAGCAAACAGG